GAUGAAGAACGUAGCGAAAUGCGAUAAGUAGUGUGAAUUGCAGAAUUCAGUGAAUCAUCGAAUCUUUGAACGCACAUUGCGCCCUUGGUAUCCCGAGGGGCAUGCCUGUUCGAGCGUCAUUUCACCACUCAAGCCUGGCUUGGUGUUGGGCGACGUCCCCUUUGGGGACGCGCCUCGAAACGCUCGGCGGCGUGGCACCGGCUUUAAGCGUAGCAGAAUCUUUCGCUUUGGAAGUCGGGGCCCCGUCUGCCGGAAGACCUACUCGCAAGGUUGACCUCGGAUCAGGCAGGGAUACCCGCUGAACUUAAGCAUAUCAAUAAGCGGAGGA
rnacentral:misc_RNA from 1 species